rnacentral:rRNA from 1 species
GAUGAACGCUGGCGGCGUGCCUAAUACAUGCAAGUCGAGCGAAGCGGGGACGGGGGAGUAACACGUGGAUGACCUCCCAUAUGACUGGGGUAACUUCCUGAAAACGGAACCAAUCCGGAUACUUAUACAUGGUUCCGCUCUGCAUUAGCUAGUGGGUAAGGUAACGGCUUAGCAAGGCACCGAUGCAUAGCCGACCUGAGAGGGUGGUCGGCCAACCUGGAACUGAGACACGGUCCAGAAUCCUACGGGAGGCAGCAGUAGGGAAUCUUCCGCAAUGGGCGAAAGCCUGACGGAGCAAAGCCGCGUGAGUGAUGACGGCCUUCGGGUUUUAAAGCUCUGUUAAUCGGGACGCGGUACCGGAAUAGAAAGCCACGGCUAACUACGUGCCAGCAGCCGCGGUAAUUC